rnacentral:rRNA from 1 species
UACGGAGGGGGCUAGCGUUGUUCGGAAUUACUGGGCGUAAAGCGCACGUAGGCGGCUUUGUAAGUUAGAGGUGAAAGCCCGGGGCUCGACCCCGGAAUUGCCUUUAAGACUGCAUCGCUAGAAUUGUGGAGAGGUAAGUGGAAUUCCGAGUGUAGAGGUGAAAUUCGUAGAUAUUCGGAAGAACACCAGUGGCGAAGGCGACUUACUGGACACAUAUUGACGCUGAGGUGCGAAAGCGUGGGGAGCAAACAGG